rnacentral:lncRNA from 1 species
UACAUUGACAGACAUGGAUUGCUGUCUGUAUUUCAAGAAUUUUCUAACUUGGGUUGAUUUUUAAAGCGUGACCUUGAGAUUGCUAGCAUGCCACACCCUGAUUUUUUGGUAACAAUUUAUGAAAGUUGAGUUGUGACUUAAGGCCUCUUACAGCAUUCAGAAGGUGAGGUACUUUUAUACGGAGGGGCCUUUCCUAGAAACUGUAGUUUUUCUGUCAGUAAAUUUUCAGUUUUUAGGUUUUCAUGCUGCAGAAAAAUGACCUUGUCUGUUUAGCCAUUGCUGCAUUGCACCAUUUUACAUACAAGGCAAAUUUUUUUCUUUGAAGAAUCUGGGAUAUUCAAACUUGUAACCGAGGGCCAUAGAGCAGCCUGGUAGUAGUAAAUUAUAGUAAAUAGACAUUUGAGAAAGUUAUAUGAAUGAAAAAAUGUACAUUUAAAAACGGAAUCACAAAUAGGACUCUUUGACUGAUGCCUUUCAGUUUAUAUUUUUGAUUGUUUCUUUUGAUAACACGUGACAAUUUAAAAUAUUUUUUAUGACUUAUCUAAACCUUAAUAAUUAGUUCCUGAGAUCAUUAAAUCUGUAACCACAAAAAUCCUGGAAUGCUAUUAAUGCUUCAGCUUUGUGUGUGUUACUGUGACAAUGGAAUUGUAAAUUUUAUGCUUAAAAUGUUACAAGGUUUAUAUUUGUGUGUAUUAAGACAGUUCUUUCUGGUUGGUAAUUGUAUUUCAUCCUUAUGUUUUAGUUGGUGCUGCUUUAAAUGUAUCAAUUUAUUUUGACCGAAUCCUCUGGAAUGCUUUCUCUUCUGAAGCUUUUUAAUGUACUGUUUGUUUAAAUCAUGAUUUGUCUCCCAUUCCCUGAAGUAGCUUAUCAGUGAUUGAAAUAAUAAAGCCUAUAAGAUAUUUUUGUUG